GACGGAGGAUGCAAGCGUUAUCCGGAAUCACUGGGCGUAAAGCGUCUGUAGGUGGUUCGAAAAGUCCACUGUUAAAAAUUGAGGCUUAACUUCAAAGAUGCCGUGGAAACUUUCAAACUAGAGUAUGGUAGGGGUAGAGGGAAUUUCCAGUGGAGCGGUGAAAUGCGUAGAUAUUGGAAAGACCACCGAUGGCGAAGGCACUCUACUGGGCCACUACUGACACUGAGAGACGAAAGCUAGGGGAGCAAAUGGG
rnacentral:rRNA from 1 species